GACGAACGCUGGCGGCGCGCCUAACACAUGCAAGUCGAACGGAAUCAAGAGGAGCUUGCUCUUCUUGAUUUAGUGGCGAACGGGUGAGUAACGCGUGAGGACCUGCCCUGGAGUGGGGGACAACAGUUGGAAACGACUGCUAAUACCGCCUAAGCCCACGGUCCCGCAUGGUACUGAGGGAAACGGAGUUAUUCGCUUCAGGAUGGACCCGCGUUCAAUUAGCUAGUUGAUGAGGUAACGGCCCACCAAGGCGACGAUUGGUAGCCGGACUGAGAGGUUGAACGGCCACAUUGGGACUGAGACACGGCCCAGACUCCUACGGGAGGCAGAUGUGGGGGAUAUUGCACAAUGGGGGAAACCCUGAUGCAGCGACGCCGCGUGGAGGAAGAAGGUUUUCGGAUUGUAAACUCCUGUCGUUAGGGACGAUAAUGACGGUACCUAACAAGAAAGCACCGGCUAACUACGUGCCAGCAGCCGCCGUAA
rnacentral:rRNA from 1 species